rnacentral:rRNA from 1 species
AUUGAACGCUGGCGGCAGGCCUAACACAUGCAAGUCGGGCGAACGAGGCUUCGGCCAAGUGAGCGGCGAACGGGUGAGUAACACGUAGGAAUCUGCCUGGUAGUGGGGGACAACGUCUCGAAAGGGACGCUAAUACCGCAUACGCCCUACGGGGGAAAGCUGGGGAUCUUCGGACCUAGCGCUAUCAGAUGAGCCUGCGUCGGAUUAGCUAGUUGGUAGGGUAAAGGCCUACCAAGGCGACGAUCCGUAACUGGUCUGAGAGGAUGAUCAGUCACACCGGAACUGAGACACGGUCCGGACUCCUACGGGAGGCAGCAGUGGGGAAUAUUGGACAAUGGGGGCAACCCUGAUCCAGCCAUGCCGCGUGUGUGAAGAAGGCCUUCGGGUUGUAAAGCACUUUAGGUCGGGAGGAAGGUUCGCUGGCUAAUAUCCGGCGGAAUUGACGUUACCGACAGAAUAAGCACCGGCUAACUUCGUGCCAGCAGCCGCCCGUAA